GUGCGCCUCACUCAGAGCAGGAGUGUUACACAACUCUGUUAUUUUACAUUUAUCAUUUUCUCUCAAAAUAAUCAGUGAUGAUAAAAGUCUCACUCGGAGUGGAAGCUCUUUACCUGCUUUACUGUCUGUGUUGUUUUUCAAAAUCACCUCCUGGAAUUCAGAGCACUCACACUGCCAGCAGUGCAAAGCAACAACAAAAACAACAACAGCAACAACAGCAAUAAUAACAACAGCAGCAACAGGAGCAACAACAAUAACAACAAUAACAACAGGAGCAACAACAAUAACAACAAUAACAACAGGAGCAACAACAAUAACAACAGGAGCAACAACAAUAACAAUAAUAACAACAGGAGCAACAACAAUAACAACAGAACAACAAUAACAACAAUAACAAAAACAUCUGCAAUAACAACAAUAAUAAUAGAAAUGUCUGGAGAUUAGUGCCUUCAAGUUCUGUACUUUUUCACGUGUUCUUGCACAAGAUCCCUGAAGGAAGAAGAACAAGAAGCAGGAAACGAAACAGAAUAAGGGAAUCACUAAACAUUUUAAUUCAAAACAUAUUUUUAAACUACAAAAAAAAGCUAAUAGGAAACGUUAAGCUAACUUUUCAUCUCAUCAUACACUCGAGUGUCCCAUCGUCCUGCUCUGGUUCUUCUCUGUAACCUUCAUGCUGAAGGCUUGAGGGCUGUGAGUGACGUUUUCAGGUGAAAAAUAUUACGCAGAUCAAACUGAAGCUCUGUAUUAGAUCCAGUAUUAUAACCAGAUCAAAUCCCAGGAUGAAUAAAUGUUCAGCCAGUUUUAAAGAAAUGAUCAAGACGUCGAUUUUCUUCCUUCCUCUUGUACAGUUUGUUGAAUUCCACUUUACAUCCCUCUAGUUCUGAGCUCUUUAUUAGUAGAUCUGUGUUAAAUCCUGCGCCGUUACUGUGUUCAUUAAAUUUAAAGCCGUGUGUAAAAGCCACUGUGUGUGUGUGGAAAUGCUGAAGACUGAUCCGUCUGGCACAGAUGAGUAAAAUUUCAAGGAUGCAUCAUCAGAUUUCAGAGUGAA